UUGGAGGGCAAGUCUGGUGCCAGCAGCCGCGGUAAUUCCAGCUCCAAUAGCGUAUAUUAAAGUUGUUGCAGUUAAAAAGCUCGUAGUUGAAUUUCGGGGUCAGUAGGUCGGUCGUGCCACUGGUAUGAACUGGUUUUACUGAUUCCUCCCUCUUGAAGAACUGUAAUGCCAUUAAUUUGGUGUUGCAGGGAAUCAGGACUGUUACUUUGAAAAAAUUAGAGUGUUUAAAGCAGGCUUUAGCUUGAAUACAUUAGCAUGGAAUAAUGAAAUAGGACGUUUGAUCCUAUUUUGUUGGUUUCUAGGAUUGACGUAAUGAUUAAUAGGGAUAGUUGGGGGCAUUAGUAUUCAAUUGUCAGAGGUGAAAUUCUUGGAUUUAUUGAAGACUAACUACUGCGAAAGCAUUUGCCAAGGAUGUUUUCAUUAAUCAAGAACGAAAGUUAGGGGAUCGAUGACGAUCAGAUACCGUCGUAGUCUUAACCAUAAACUAUGCCGACUAGGGAUCGGAUGAUGUUAAUUUUUUAAUGACUCAUUCGGCGCCUUACGGGAAAC
rnacentral:rRNA from 1 species